CGACGAAGAGCUCGGUACCGAUGACAUUUCGAAACUAAACGUUAAAUAUAGACGGUUAAUUAAUUUAUAGAAAUUCAUUACAAAUACGGAAAUAUGAAAAUAUAAUUUAGGUGAAGGGUUUAUGUGUUACGACUCUGUGUCGAUCCGCUAAUGAUAAACUGUUCCCACCCAACAAGUGGUUGCAAUCUUAUCAACCACAACAGGUUGAAGGAUGUUUACGACCCUGUGUCGAACUGCUAAUGAUAAACGGCUCUACCCUAUUUAGGAUUGAUUAUAAUCUUUAGGCAAACAUUAAAAUAGUUUUCUCUCAAAAUAUUUUUCCCACCCAACAAGCGGUUGCAAUCUUAUCAACCACAACAGGUUGAAGGAUGUUUACGACCCUGUGUCGAUCCGCUAAUGAUAAAC